GACGAACGCUGGCGGCGUGCUUAACACAUGCAAGUCGAACGGUAAGUCCCCAUCUUGCUGGGGUCCACGAGUUGCGAACUGGUGAGUAACACGUGGGUUACCUGCCCCGCACUUCGGGAUAAGCCUGUGCAACUUGGUCUAAUACCGGAUAGGACCGCACCGUUAUGGUUUGGUGGAAAGUUUUUCGGUGUGGGAUGGGCCCGCGGCCUUUCAGCUUGUUGGUGGGGUAAGGGGCUACCAAGGCGGCGACGGGUAGCAGGCCUGAGAGGGUGGCCGGCCAAAUUGGGACUGAGAAGAGGCCCAGACUCCUACGGGAGGCAGCAGUGGGGAAUAUUGCACAAUGGGCGGAAGCCUGAUGCAGCGAAGCCGCGUGGGGGAUGACGGCCUUCGGGUUGUAAACUCAUGUCACCAUCGACGAAGGGUUUCUGACGGUAGAUGGAGAAGAAGCACCGGCUAACUACGUG
rnacentral:rRNA from 1 species